rnacentral:rRNA from 1 species
GACGAACGCUGGCGGCGUGCUUAACACAUGCAAGUCGAGCGGUAAGGCCCUUUCGGGGGUACGACGAGCGGCGAACGGGUAGAGUAACACGUGGGUGACCUCGCCCUCCAGCUCUGGGAGUAAGACCGUCGGGAAACCGGGGUACUAAUAACUGGAUAUGACUCCAUGACGCAUGUUGUGGGGUGGAAAGCCUUGUGCGGCUGAGGAUGGGCCCGG